AUCCUUUUUUGGUUCAUGAGUGUGAUGAUUGGGUUUUCACGCUGUUGUGUGAUAUGUGCCUCCCUGUAAACCUUGUUACAAUGUCAGCACAUUACCCGUCUGACG